UAGAAUUGCCGUUGAAACUGAAUUUCUUGAAUCUAAUUGAAGUAGGCGGAAUAUGACAUGUAGCGGUGAAAUGCUUAGAUAUGUCAUAGAACACCAAUAGCGAAGGCAGCUUACUAAGUUAGUAUUGACGCUAAUGCACGAAAGCGUGGGGAGCGAACAGGAUUAGAUACCCUGGUAGUCCACGCCGUAAACGAUGAUUACUCGCUAUUGGCGAUAAACAGUCAGUGGCUAAGCGAAAGUGAUAAGUAAUCCACCUGGGGAGUACGAUCGCAAGGUUGAAACUCAAAGGAAUUGACGGGGGCCCGCACAAGCGGUGGAGCAUGUGGUUUAAUUCGAUGAUACGCGAGGAACCUUACCAGGUCUUAAAUGCAUAACGAACAGUUGGGAAACCAACCUUUCUUCGGACGGAAUGCAAGGUGCUGCAUGGUUGUCGUCAGCUCGUGCCGUGAGGUGUCAGGUUAAGUCCUAUAACGAGCGCAACCCCUAUUCUUAGUUGCCAGCGGUUAGGCCGGGGACUCUAAGAAAACUGCCAGUGCAAGCUGCGAGGAAGGUGGGGAUGACGUCAAAUCAUCACGGCCCUUACGACCUGGGCCACACACGUGCUACAAUGGUAGGUACAAAGGGCAGCCACUUGGCGACAAGGAGCUAAUCUCCAAAACCUAUCUCAGUUCGGAUUGGAGUCUGAAACUCGACUCUAUGAAGCUGGAAUCGCUAGUAAUCGCGCAUCAGCCAUGGCGCGGUGAAUACGUUCCCGGGCCUUGUACACACCGCCCGUCAAGCCAUGGAAGCUGGGGGUACCUGAAGUCGGUAACCGUAUAGGAGCUGCCUAGGGUAAAACUAGUAACUGGGGCUAAGUCGUAACAAGGUAGCCGUA
rnacentral:rRNA from 1 species